CCUACGGGAGGCAGCAGUGGGGAAUCUUAGACAAUGGGGGCAACCCUGAUCUAGCCAUGCCGCGUGAGUGAUGAAGGCCUUAGGGUCGUAAAGCUCUUUCGCCUGUGAUGAUAAUGACAGUAGCAGGUAAAGAAACCCCGGCUAACUCCGUGCCAGCAGCCGCGGUAAUACGGAGGGGGUUAGCGUUGUUCGGAAUUACUGGGCGUAAAGCGCGCGUAGGCGGAUUAGAAAGUUGGGGGUGAAAUCCCGGGGCUCAACCCCGGAACUGCCUCCAAGACUGCUAGUCUAGAGUUCGAGAGAGGUGAGUGGAAUUCCGAGUGUAGAGGUGAAAUUCGUAGAUAUUCGGAGGAACACCAGUGGCGAAGGCGGCUCACUGGCUCGAUACUGACGCUGAGGUGCGAAAGUGUGGGGAGCAAACAGGAUUAGAUACCCUGGUAGUCCACACCGUAAACGAUGAAUGCCAGUCGUCGGGUAGUAUACUAUUCGGUGACACACCUAACGGAUUAGGCAUUCCGCCUGGGGAGUACGGUCGCAAGAUUAAAACUCAAAGGAAUGACGG
rnacentral:rRNA from 1 species